rnacentral:rRNA from 1 species
GACGAACGCUGGCGGCGUGCUUAACACAUGCAAGUCGAGCGGUAAGGCCCUUUCGGGGGUACGACGAGCGGCGAACGGGUGAGUAACACGUGGGUGACCUGCCCUCCAGCUCUGGGAUAAGCCUGGGAAACCGGGUCUAAUACCGGAUAUGACUCCAUGACGCAUGUUGUGGGGUGGAAAGCCUUGUGCGGCUGAGGAUGGGCCCGCCGGCCUAUCAGCUUGUUGGUGGGGUGAAUGGCCUACCAAGGCGACGACGGGUAGCCGGCC